UCUCUGAUCGUAUAACGGUUAGUACACACGCCUGUCACUGGCGUUCGCUGGAGAUCGCGUGAGACCGGGGUUCGACUCCCCGUCAGAGAG